rnacentral:lncRNA from 1 species
AAACUUCUUAGGUGUUCACCUCUUGAGAUCAUAUGUAGAUGAUCCAAGUGAUUCCUUUGGAAUAGGCAACAAGCACAAAGCAAAUGAGCAAGGUUCAAAAAUAAAGAUGGAAACAGAUGGCCAAUAAAUGGUCUUAUAUCCAACUCCACAACAAGAAACAGAAUAGGAAACAAGUUGCCAAUCAAUGGUCUUAUACCUGACUCCAAAAAAUGAUC